rnacentral:rRNA from 1 species
AUUGAACGCUGGCGGCAGGCCUAACACAUGCAAGUCGAGCGGAUGAAGGGAGCUUGCUCCUGGAUUCAGCGGCGGACGGGUGAGUAAUGCCUAUGAAUCUGCCUGGUAGUGGGGGAUAACGUCCGGAAACGGGCGCUAAUACCGCAUACGUCCUGAGGGAGAAAGUGGGGGAUCUUCGGACCUCACGCUUUCAGAUGAGCCUAGGUCGGAUUAGCUAGUUGGUGGGGUAAAGGCCUACCAAGGCGACGAUCCGUAACUGGUCUGAGAGGAUGAUCAGUCACGCUGGAAGUUAGAAACCGGUCAGACUCCUACGGGAGGCAGCCGUGGGGAAUAUUGGAAAAUGGGCGAAAGCCUUAUCCAGCCAUGCCGCGUGUGUGAAGAAGGUCUUCGGAUUGUAAAGCACUUUAAGUUGGGAGGAAGGGCAGUAAGUUAAUACCUUGCUGUUUUGACGUUACCAACAGAAUAAGCACCGGCUAACUGCGUG